AAGUCGUAACAAGGUUUCCGUAGGUGAACCUGCGGAAGGAUCAUUAACACUAUACUUUCAAUAUAAACCGAUGAGUCACUGACCAGCCUCAUAUCGCGGAGGUCGACGAGAUCAUUAGUUGGGAAGAUACACGAGAGUCCCUCGGAUUCUCGGAGUCAUCGGCGGUCUCGCCUGCUUUGAAGUUUUCCCGCUGUCUCUCUGAUGAUUCGCUCUCAGAGGGGCGGCGCAUGGAUUACGCUCCGACUUUGUGGGGAAUACAGUCUCGACUAAUGGCUGGCCCUUUCUAUCUAUCUUUUAACACCUUGAAAUUUGUACUGAUUUGGGCUUUGGAUCGAGAGGAGCAAUCCUUUCUCCGAGGCUGUUGAUGGAUUCGUCCAUUCAAUAACCAAAACACAACUCUUAACAGCGGAUAUCUCGGUUCUC
rnacentral:misc_RNA from 1 species